GGAGUGGGGUUUCCGUGGAAAAGGAAAGGCAGGGAGGUGAAUGCUUUAGGACUGGCCAGUUGGAAUCAUCUCAGCAGGUUUGGCUGUGGGUGGGGGUGGUCCCUAGUCACCCAGGACCUGGCCCUGGGAUGGUCAGGGCAGGGGAAUAUUGCCCAGGGAGUUUAGGGCCAGAGAGAGGAGGUGCGCUGGCUAGUUUGCGUAUGAAAGGCAUGCUCUCAGAGCCCUCGCUGUAUGAGAAUUGGCCAGCCCCUGGAGGGGCAGGCUCUCCCCAGCCAGAAAGCUUGUCUAAGAUGUCAAAACAUGAUACACAGAAAAUUCAGAAAAUAUGUACAACACACACGAGUAUGACUCUCACGGAGACCUGCAAUGAGCAGAGCUGCAGAGCCAGAGCUCGGGGUCACCUGUGCCCCCCGAGUUCCCGGCAUCUCAGUGGUGACUUUGGCCAGCACAACAUGGGCUGUGGAGCUGCAGAGCUCUGCCUGUCAGUGGGGCGGGCGUGCAGGCCGGUUCUGAGGGCAGCACAGGGGCUGCGGCAGGAGCCUGGCCUGUGAUGAUGGGGGGCUUCAGUUUCGUCUGCAGAGCUCUGCUUGCAGGUGCCCGCAGUGUAGAGACCACAGGGGUCUCCGCGCCGCCGGGCAUCUGAGGAUGUGAGACUGCACACCAUCUGCCCACUGCCCGCUGCCACGUCCGUGUGCUCGGAGCAGGGAAGAGCUCAAGCCAGUGACCUUGAAAGAGGGAACACAGCUGAGAAACGUGUCAGACGCCCUUCUGGGGUGGCGGUCCUGGCUGCACAUCUGUCUGGAGUGCAUGGAUGCCAGAAGUCACUGUCCAUGGGGUGACAGCGCAGCCUGGAGCUGAUGAGAGGCGGGAAGGAGGAGCUGUGGGCAGAGGGACUUCGGAAAGCAUGGCGUUACCUACUUUCACACCUCUCAGGGCUUAACGCCAUCCUCCUACAAAUGAUGAAAGCCAUCAUCUCUGCUUCCAGCCGGGCCUUGGAAGAGAGCACUGGUUUAGAGAACGGGAGCUUUCCCUGUAGCGUGGCCCCAGGUCAGAGUUUCCCAGGCGGAGGUCCCUGGAAGACUGGCUUCUCUUGGUGUUUCUGGCAGGCCAGGCAGAAAGUGAGGGGCACCUUGUGUUGGAAAGAGUUUGGGACACGCCGCCACCGGUGGCCUCUCCUGGAGGUGACAGCAUAUGUGCAAGCAGAGCAAAGGCUCUGAGCAGCCCCGGAGGAAGGACGCAUCCGUGGCUUUAUCUAACCAGACAUUUCCCCUGGAGUCCUUUCCCCCACGGAGGGUGGACUGACACCUCAGAAUCCUGUGUUCUGGAGACCCCGGGGGGAUCCUCCCUGGCAGCCCUGCGGGGAAGCGGUCUCUGGGUGCAGAGCAGCGGUGCCUGUGCUUUUUGUGUUUGUGAGUCACUCACCGAGCAGUCUUUGCCCAGUGAAAGGUUUGAGGAGCUGUUACUUGGGCCAAGUCCUGGGGAAGCGAUGAAAUAGAGACGGUUCGUCUUCAGUGCUGGCAACCUCCCCUUUUUAGUCACUUCUUUCCUGUCUCCAGAGAAGGUUUCCUCUCUGGUCGUCCACUUGCUCAGGCAUCAGUGUUCUGUGUUCUGAUUCUGCCCAAACUUUCCUCUCUUUUAAAUUAUCCUUCAUGGCUAGGAUGGGAGUACUUGUUUAUACUAAUGUGUAAAUGACUAACCAGCUAAUAUUGCUUAUAUUCUGUGUGGGCAGGAGGCUUUGCACAGACCUCUCACACAUCCUGAGGUUUGCCUUUAGGCAGAGGACUGUCUCCUCUGACAGCGUUAACUCAAUGCACCUGCUACGCUUGAUGAUCCUUAGGCUUGAUGCCAGGUCAGUUCUGGGUGAAGAACAAACACCAUGAGCAGGAUAGGUGGGGUCUGGAGGGGGAGGCAGAUGCACCAAGGCAAGAGGAAAUACCUAAAGACUGUUAGCGUCAGCACAGCGUCGCUUCAGGCCGAGUAAGCAAUGCCUGUCCAGAAAGUGGCGGAUGGUGGACUGUGGAGCAAGACAUGGAGAGAGAAGAUGAAAGAUGCUCAGACUGGGGCUCGGCAAACUUUCUCUACAAAGGCCAGAUGACAAAUAAAGGAACGGUGGCUGUACGGGCCACCCAGGGCCGGCCUGAA